GGGUGUGGGGGGCAUCAUGGCAGAGUGCUUGUGCGGAAUCCGUCAAUGAGUCCAGCCCACUCAACACCCAGUCACCUGUACUUGAGCAUGGGGCAGUCUCCUUCCUCCUCCGUGCCUGUGAACAAUCUCCGGACCUGCCUCAGAGCCCGAGUCCUCUUGGGAGCCUGCCUGCACCUUCCUCUUCAUCUCCUCUCUUCAACGCCUUGGCCUCAGCCAUCACUGUUAGUAGAAACGACACUGCCAUUCCCUCCCCGAGGAUUGUGCCUUCUGUGAUUAGGGUCUAAGCUUUUCAAGACUCUUGACCUGGUGCAUUUGUGUGUAACCAGAAAACAUGGAGCUUGGACCACGGCUGAUUAUGUAUUUGGGAAGGAGGUGAUUAGAAGGCAGUGAGGCGGGGCCCAGGAACUGGAUGGGGCUCCCAUCCAUCGGAUGCUGAUGCUAAAGAGCAGGGGCCCUGGGCAGCAGCAGGGGACCGUGAUCCAUACCCACAAGCCCAACUCACCUCACUGCCCGCCCUGCUUUUCAUGGGGCAGUUGUCUGUGUUUUUCAGGAGCUGCUUUCUCAGACUGUUUGCAAUCUGCUUUUUGAUAGAAUGGACACAAACAUACCAGAGGAAAGACGUUCAUUUUCUUCCAGGAGUUCAAGCUUUAAAAAGCAUUGAUCUGAAACAAGCCUUCAUGCUGAAACUGUCUACACUGCACGAACCCUGUGGAAAGGAAGGCGGAAAAAUAUCAGGGCUUCUAAUCUCUGAAGACCCACCACCAGGAGCCCCGGGCUACCAUCAUUCCACUUCCUGCCAUCCAGCAGAUGAGAAAGUAGGAAGGGUUCCCCAAGAAUGGUUUUCCGUAUCAACAGCCUUCAGCGUGAGAUGCACUGAGCCUUUCUCAUCUAGUCCCACGGAAGUUGAUUCUUCUCACCUGAUGAAGCGUUUUCAUUCUUGGCUAAACAUUUUAAGAAAGCCAGGCAUAGUCACGUGGGUAUCCUAG
rnacentral:lncRNA from 13 species